UGUGUGUGUGUCAUCAUGUUUAUCAGUCUGCUUGUGAAUGUGAAAGGCAAUCAGCAGUGAUAGAGGUGGAUAGGACUACCUGCCUUUGAAACCUUGGUGUGUGGGUGUGCCCCCCUUACAGGACGAGUCCACUGCUUAACGAGGUGUGUUCACCUGUCCCUGUAGGAGUGCCAGGACACUAAUGGGUCCGUAUGGGGUAGACCGUGCCGUUCAUGAAAUAGAAUUUACUGACUGUGAGAAUGGACUGGGGAUCAAAGUGAUUGGAGGAAUGAAGGAGUUAACGGGAGAGGAGUUUGGAGUCUACGUGAAAAGGAUUUUACCUGGUGGCCUUGCUUCAAGUGAUGGACACCUCCAGGCGGGAGACCAGAUCUUGGAGGUGAAUGGGGAGAGUUUACUAGGGGUCACUAGUGAAAGAGCAGUAGACGUUCUGAGAUCAGCGUCCUCGAGCAACCAAAUGCGCCUUCUGAUCGCCAGAGACGAGGAAGCCAGGAGAGAGUUUUCAGAGCUUUUGGAGAAGUAUGGAUCCAGCAGUAGUACUGGGUCGACACGCAACUCUCCCAUCCAGCAUGGCAGAUAUCUGGACAGCACAUCGUCC
ensembl:lncRNA